UUGGGAAUGAGGGGGAUGUCAGGGUAGCGGAAACCACAGGGCUGACAUGAAGAGGGGAAACGGGGGUGGGAGUCAUAUGUAGGAUCUUUCUGUAUUUUCUGUUCCAUUUUUCUGCAAACCUAAAACUGCUCUUAACAAUAAAGUCUAUUAGUACUUUUAAAGUAAAAACAGAAUAGGCUGUGUAACAAAAUGCUUUAAUUUGGAAUUCUAAUAGAAGGAAGAUUUGUCUCUUCUCCUUUGUUCAUUUUUUUAGUCAUUUAUUUAUAUGAGUAUGGAGUCCUGGACAUUUAUUUUAUACUUUGGGUUAUAAUUUCAUAUUGCAUUAUUUUUGCUCUCAAAUUCUUCCAGGUUUGUUUUGGGAGCUUUAUCCCUCUUGCCUCCUUGAUUAUGGGCUGAGCUCAGUCAUCGCUUCUAAAGAAUAGAGCAUGGGAAAGGGGUAAGUUACUUCACAGUGAAGAAACCUGGAAACCCUCCCUAGGCUAGGUGAUCAAGGUCAACAGAACCAGUGACGUCAUAUUGACAGCACACCUCCCUGACACACGGUGUGAUGAGAAGGUGACCUCAACUCUGUGGUCAGCCUCUCCAUCCCAUAACCCCAAUCUAACUAGAGAAAAAAAUCAAAUUGAGAAGCAUCGUAUACAAUACCUGACCAGUACUCCUUAAAGCUGUCAAGGUCCUUAAAAAUGAGGAAAGGCUAAAAAGUUGUCACAAAUCAGAGGAGGCUAAGGAGACACAAUAACUAAAUGUAAUGUGGUGUCCUGGAUGGGACCCUGGAGCAGACAAAGGACAUUAGUGGAAAAACUAGUGAAAUAGGAAUAACGUCUGGAGUUUAGUUAAUAGCAACAUACCAGUGUUGGUUUCUUAGGCGUGACAAAUGUAGCCUGGCAAUGUAAGAUGCUAACAGUAGGGGAAACCAGGUGAGGGGCAGACGGGAACUCUGCACUAUCUUUGCAACUUUCUUGUAAAUCUAAAACUAUUCUAAAAUUGAAAGUUAAAAAGUUAAAAGGUUCUAACUUACCAGGUACUUAUAAUGUACCUAAAAAACAGAAACCAGAAGGGGAAACAUUGCAUGCAGAUCCAGCAGGGGAGGAGGAAAAUGUCUUG
rnacentral:lncRNA from 1 species